CCUGCUUGUCCACUCGCUCGCACUCUCUCUCUCUCUCUCUCUCAAAAUAAAUAAAUAAACUAAAAACAAAAGUGUUUGCAUUGCAGGUGCUCAACAAAUGUAUUUAACGUGAAUGGAAAACCCGGGAGGGACAAGUGAGCAGGAGCUGUCCCUUUCCACUGUGGUUACCAGUCACGUCACUUCUAAAGAAGGCCUUUCUCUAGUUCUGACAGCGGACUGUCCAGAAGCCUGAAGGGAGGCAUCUCCCUGACAAGACAAAAAAAAAGCAUGCCCACCUCCAUCUCAGACCACGAACAGAGAGGUUUACCUGUGCGCAGAAGGUAUAAAGAAGCAGGUAGAGGAGGUCCAUCACCUGCAGAUAACCUAGCUGUGGUCUCCAGAGCUUGCAGUUCAAAGCCACGUCCUUGCUUCUGCUGUGCACCCCAGGACCUG
rnacentral:lncRNA from 1 species